GCGGCCGCGCGGGCAGCCCGGUGGGGCGGAGCGAGGCAGCCGGAGGGGCGGGCUCCCGGCGUCGUGGUCGCGCUCGCGUGCUCCGUUCCCUGCGGCUGCCCGGACCCUUGGCCAUGUCCUGAAUGGGAAACAGCACAUCCUCGUUUUGGGGGAAGUCAGCCACUACUCCUGUGAACCAGAUCCAAGAAACAAUUUCUAAUAAUUGUGUGGUGAUUUUCUCAAAAUCAUCCUGCUCUUACUGUUCAAUGGCCAAGAAGAUUUUCCAUGACAUGAAUGUCAACUAUAAAGUCGUGGAGUUGGAUAUGGUGGAAUAUGGUAGCCAGUUUCAAGAGGCUCUUUACAAGAUGACUGGAGAAAGAACUGUUCCCAGGAUAUUUGUGAAUGGAAUAUUUAUCGGAGGUGCGGCCGACACUCACAGGCUUCACAAAGAAGGGAAAUUGCUGCCUCUGGUUCACCAGUGCUAUUUAAACAAAAGCAAGAGGAAAGACGUCGAAUGACGUGGCUAGUCGCCGUACCAGUAAACCGUCCUGAUGCAGCAAGGAAAUCCUCACUAGAUGCUGGCACUUUAACCUCAACAUCCCAACCUAUGAACUAUAAGA
rnacentral:lncRNA from 1 species